rnacentral:rRNA from 1 species
GACGAACGCUGGCGGCGUGCUUAACACAUGCAAGUCGAACGAAGAGCGAUGGAAGCUUGCUUCUAUCAAUCUUAGUGGCGAACGGGUGAGUAACGCGUAAUCAACCUGCCCUUCAGAGGGGGACAACAGUUGGAAACGACUGCUAAUACCGCAUACGAUCUAAUCUCGGCAUCGAGGAAAGAUGAAAGGUGGCCUCUAUGUAUAAGCUAUCACUGAAGGAGGGGAUUGCGUCUGAUUAGCUAGUUGGAGGGGUAACGGCCCACCAAGGCGAUGAUCAGUAGCCGGUCUGAGAGGAUGAACGGCCACAUUGGGACUGAGACACGGCCCAGACUCCUACGGGAGGCAGCAGUGGGGAAUCUUCCGCAAUGGACGAAAGUCUGACGGAGCAACGCCGCGUGAGUGAUGACGGCCUUCGGGUUGUAAAGCUCUGUUAAUCGGGACGAAAGGCCUUCUUGCGAAUAGUGAGAAGGAUUGACGGUACCGGAAUA